rnacentral:rRNA from 1 species
AACGAACGCUGGCGGCAUGCCUAACACAUGCAAGUCGAAUGAGACCUUCGGGUCUAGUGGCGCACGGGUGCGUAACGCGUGGGAACCUGCCCUUAGGUUCGGAAUAACUCCCCGAAAGGGGUGCUAAUACCGGAUAAUGUCUUCGGACCAAAGAUUUAUCGCCUUUGGAUGGGCCCGCGUUGGAUUAGCUAGUUGGUAGGGUAAAAGCCUACCAAGGCGACGAUCCAUAGCUGGUCUGAGAGGAUGAUCAGCCACACUGGGACUGAGACACGGCCCAGACUCCUACGGGAGGCAGCAGUGGGGAAUAUUGGACAAUGGGCGAAAGCCUGAUCCAGCAAUGCCGCGUGAGUGAUGAAGGCCUUAGGGUUGUAAAGCUCUUUUACCCGGGAUGACAAUGACAGUACCGGGAGAAUAAGCUCCGGCUAACUCCGUG